rnacentral:rRNA from 1 species
UACGAAGGGUGCAAACGUUGCUCGGAAUCAUUGGGCGUAAAGCGUACGUAGGCGGCUUGCCAAGUCGGACGUGAAAUCCCUCAGCUCAACUGAGGACGUGCAUCCGAAACUGGCGAGCUUGAGUACUGAAGAGGAUCGCGGAAUUCCCGGUGUAGAGGUGAAAUUCGUAGAUAUCGGGAGGAACACCAGUGGCGAAGGCGGCGAUCUGGGCAGAUACUGACGCUGAGGUGCGAAAGCGUGGGGAGCAAACAGG